rnacentral:rRNA from 1 species
AUUGAACGCUGGCGGCAGGCCUAACACAUGCAAGUCGAGCGGAUGAAGGGAGCUUGCUCCUGGAUUCAGCUGCGGACGGGUGAGUAAUGCCUAGGAAUCUGCCUGGUAGUGGGGGAUAACGUCCGGAAACGGGCGCUAAUACCGCAUACGUCCUGAUGGAGAAAGUGGGGGAUCUUCGGACCUCACGCUAUCAGAUGAGCCUAGGUCGGAUUAGCUAGUUGGUGGGGUAAAGGCCUACCAAGGCGACGAUCCGUAACUGGUCUGAGAGGAUGAUCAGUCACACUGGAACUGAGACACGGUCCAGACUCCUACGGGAGGCAGCAGUGGGGAAUAUUGGGCAAAGGGCGAAAGCCUGAUCCAGCCAUGCCGCGUGUGUGAAGAAGGUCUUCGGAUUGUAAAGCACUUUAAGUUGGGAGGAAGGGCAGUAAGUUAAUACCUUGCUGUUUUGACGUUACCAACAGAAUAAGCACCGGCUAACUUCGUG